UGCAGAAGACCAAAAUAGGUGCCGCCAACC
rnacentral:piRNA from 1 species